GCCCGGGUGGCGGAAUUGGCAGACGCGGGGGUCUCAAAAACCCUUAAGGGAAACCUUGUGUGGGUUCAAGUCCCACCUCGGGCA
rnacentral:tRNA from 1 species